rnacentral:rRNA from 1 species
GAUUCUGGCUCAGGAUGAACGCUAGCUACAGGCUUAACACAUGCAAGUCGAGGGUAGCAGGGUAGCAAUACCGCUGACGACCGGCGCACGGGUGAGUAACACGUAUCCAACCUUCCCAUAACUCAGGGAUAGCCUUUCGAAAGAAAGAUUAAUACCUGAUAGUACUUUUUCAAGGCAUCUUGAAAAAGUUAAAGAUUUAUUGGUUAUGGAUGGGAUGCGUUCCAUUAGAUAGUUGGUGAGGUAACGGCUCACCAAGUCUUCGAUGGAUAGGGGUUCUGAGAGGAAGGUCCCCCACAUUGGUACUGAGACACGGACCAAACUCCUACGGGAGGCAGCAGUGAGGAAUAUUGGUCAAUGGGCGAAAGCCUGAACCAGCCAAGUAGCGUGAAGGAAUGAAGGUCCUAUGGAUUGUAAACUUCUUUUAUAGUAGAAUAAAGUGAUCCACGUGUGGAUUUUUGUAUGUAUACUAUGAAUAAGGAUCGGCUAACUCCGUGCCAGCCGCCGC